UACGGAGGGUGCGAGCGUUGUCCGGAAUCAUUGGGCGUAAAGGGCUCGUAGGUGGCCAACUAAGUCGGACGUGAAAUCCCUCAGCUUAACUGGGGAACUGCGUCCGAUACUGGAUGGCUUGAGUUUGGGAGAGGGAUGCGGAAUUCCAGGUGUAGCGGUGAAAUGCGUAGAUAUCUGGAGGAACACCGGUGGCGAAGGCGGCAUCCUGGACCAACACUGACACUGAGGAGCGAAAGCCAGGGGAGCAAACGGG
rnacentral:rRNA from 1 species